ACUCAGAGAACCAAUCAAUUUAAAACGUGCUUUGCGCGAAUUGCGCUGUUUAUUAAAAUGUGGAAAGAAGACAUAGAAAGGGGCUUUUAUCUACUGAGAUGGAGACUUCCAUUAAUCGACUUCGGGAGACCAGUACCAGGUUCUUUUUUCAAUAGCCAUCACAAACUAAAAUAUUGAAAAAUGAAGGGAGUGGAGCUACUCAGCACUUCAAUGAGUUCAACUGAGAUUUGAUUUACAAGAGUAACUUGGAAUAAGAGAACAUUAUAAUAAAGGAGGACAGAAACCAAGAAAUAGACCAUUGCCAAAGAAAAUGGACAGAA